rnacentral:rRNA from 1 species
UAACGCGAAGAACCUUACCAAGGCUUGACAUACACGAGAACGGGCCAGAAAUGGUCAACUCUUUGGACACUCGUGAACAGGUGGUGCAUGGUUGUCGUCAGCUCGUGUCGUGAGAUGUUGGGUUAAGUCCCGCAACGAGCGCAACCCUCGUUUUAUGUUGCCAGCGCGUAAUGGCGGGAACUCAUAGGAGACUGCCGGGGUCAACUCGGAGGAAGGUGGGGAUGACGUCAAAUCAUCAUGCCCCUUAUGUCUUGGGCUUCACGCAUGCUACAAUGGCCGGUACAAAGGGCUGCGAUACCGUAAGGUGGAGCGAAUCCCAAAAAGCCGGUCUCAGUUCGGAUUGAGGUCUGCAACUCGACCUCAUGAAGUCGGAGUCGCUAGUAAUCGCAGAUCAGCA